AGGAUUUCACCCUUUACCUUUAUGAGUCUCAAGAUGUCCCCUUACUAACCCUUAUAUUGAUCCCAGUUAACUAUUACCUUUUGAGUCUUUAGUUAUUAGAUGAAACCUAACCAUCUUACUAAGAUAGAACCUAGAAGAGUGGACCGACAGUUAAACUCCAAAUUAUUAUUGUCUCUAUCUUUUCGUAGUCAUUGCUUCUUUUUUGGAAUAAGCAACAAUAUCUAGGCGGGA
rnacentral:lncRNA from 1 species